AAGAACGCUGGCGGCAGGCCUAAGACAUGCAAGUCGUACGCGAACGACCUUUCGGGGUUAAGUAGAGUGGCGAACGGGUUAGUAACGCGUGGGAACAUACACAGCACAGGGGGAUAACCAUUGGAAACGAUGGCUAAUACCGCAUACGCCCUAUUGGGGAAAGAUUUAUCGGUGUUGGAUUGGCCCGCGUUAGAUUAGCUAGUUGGUGGGGUAAUGGCUCACCAAGGCGACGAUUUAUAGCUGGUUUGAGAGGAUGAUCAGCAACACUGGAACUGAGACACGGUCCAGACUCCUACGGGAGGCAGCAGUCGGGAAUAUUGUGCAACGGGGGCAACCCUGACACAGCCAUGCCGCGUGAGUGAAGAAGGCCUUAGGGUUGUAAAGCUCUUUCAGAUGUGAGGAUGAUGACGAUAGCAUCAGAAGAAGCUCCGGCUAACUUCGUGCCAGCAGCCGCGGUAAUACGAAGGGAGCUAGCGUUGUUCGGAAUUACUGGGCGUAAAGGGCGUGUANGCGGAUUAUCAAGUUAGGGGUGAAAUCCCGGGGCUCA
rnacentral:rRNA from 1 species